rnacentral:rRNA from 1 species
UAGGGAAUAUUGCACAAUGGAGGAAACUCUGAUGCAGCCAUGCCGCGUGUGUGAAGAAGGCCUUCGGGUUGUAAAGCACUUUCGGAGGGGAGGAAAAAAUAGACGUUACCCUCAGAAGAAGCACCGGCUAACUACGUGCCAGCAGCCGCGGUAAAACGUAGGUCACAAGCGUUGUCCGGAAUUACUGGGUGUAAAGGGAGCGCAGGCGGGAAGACAAGUUGGAAGUGAAAUCUAUGGGCUCAACCCAUAAACUGCUUUCAAAACUGUUUUUCUUGAGUAGUGCAGAGGUAGGCGGAAUUCCCGGUGUAGCGGUGGAAUGCGUAGAUAUCGGGAGGAACACCAGUGGCGAAGGCGGCCUACUGGGCACCAACUGACGCUGAGGCUCGAAAGUGUGGGUAGCAAACAGGAUUAGAUA